UACAUGUGGGGCAAGCGUUGUUCGGAAUUACUGGGCAUAAAGGGUGCGUAGGCGGCUUGUUAAGUCGGGGGUGAAAGUUUUCGGCCCAACCGGAAACUUGCCUUUGAUACUGGCGAGCUUGAGUGCGUGAGGGGUAACCGGAACGAGUGGUGUAGCGGUGAAAUGCGUAGAUAUCACUCGGAAGGCCAACGGCGAAGGCAGGUUACUGGUACGCAACUGACACUGAGGGACGAAAGCUAGGGGAGCGAAUGGG
rnacentral:rRNA from 1 species